rnacentral:rRNA from 1 species
GAAUCGCUAGUAAUCGUGGAUCAGAAUGUCACGGGUGAAUACGUUCCCGGGCCGUUGUACACACCGCCCGUCACACCAUGGGAGUGGACUGCACCARAAGUGGUUAGCUUAACCUUCGGGAAAGCGAUCACCACGGUGUGGUUCAUGACUGGGGUGAAGUCGUAACAAGGUAGCCGUAGGGGAACCUGCGGCUGGAUCACCUCCUU